rnacentral:rRNA from 1 species
UACGAAGGGGGCUAGCGUUGCUCGGAAUUACUGGGCGUAAAGGGCGCGCAGGCGGUCUUGAAAGUCAGGCGUGAAAGCCCCGGGCUUAACCUGGGAAUUGCGCUUGAUACUCUGAGACUGGAGUACGGGAGAGGAGAGUGGAAUUCCCAGUGUAGAGGUGAAAUUCGUAGAUAUUGGGAAGAACACCAGUGGCGAAGGCGGCUCUCUGGACCGUAACUGACGCUGAGGCGCGAAAGCGUGGGGAGCAAACAGG